AAUGAAGCCGGGAAACCGGUCCUUCUAACCCUUGAUUAUCUUAAUUUGUUGCUUUGGUGGGCCGCGCAAGCACCGGCUUCGGCUGGAUUGUGCCCGCCAGAGGACCACAACUCUGUCAUUUAUGUCGUCUGAUUACUAUUUAAUAGUUAAAACUUUCAACAACGGAUCUCUUGGUUCU
rnacentral:misc_RNA from 1 species